UACGAAGGGGGCCAGCGUUGCUCGGAAUCACUGGGCGUAAAGCGCACGUAGGCGGAUUGUUAAGUCAGGGGUGAAAUCCUGGAGCUCAACUCCAGAACUGCCUUUGAUACUGGCGAUCUUGAGUCCGGGAGAGGUGAGUGGAACUGCGAGUGUAGAGGUGAAAUUCGUAGAUAUUCGCAAGAACACCAGUGGCGAAGGCGGCUCACUGGCCCGGUACUGACGCUGAGGUGCGAAAGCGUGGGGAGCAAACAGG
rnacentral:rRNA from 1 species